GAUGAACGCUGGCGGCGUGCUUAACACAUGCAAGUCGAACGAUAAAGCCCAGCUUGCUUGGUGUAUUAGUGGCGAACGGGUGAGUAACACGUGAGUAAACUGCCCUUAACUCUGUGAUAAGCCUGGGAAAAUGGGGCUAAUACCCGAUAGAGGCGUCCACCGCAUGGUGGGUGUUGGGGAGAUUUAUCGGUUUUGGAUGGACUCGCGGCGUAUCAGCUUGUUGGUGAGGUAAUGGCUCACCAAGGCGCCGACGGGUAGCCGGCCUGAGAGGGUGACCGGCCACACUGGGACUGAGACACGGCCCAGACUCCUACGGGAGGCAGCAGUGGGGAAUAUUGCACAAUGGGCGAAAGCCUGAUGCAGCGACGCCGCGUGAGGGAUGACGGCCUUCGGGUUGUAAACCUCUUUCAGUAGGGAAGAAGCGAAAGUGACGGUACCUGCAGAAGAAGCACCGGCUAACUACGUG
rnacentral:rRNA from 1 species